rnacentral:lncRNA from 1 species
AAGCACACGCGAAUUAAGCAAACACGGUUAUGGAACAUAUAUCAGUCGAAAUUAAUCAACACAUAUUCUAUAGAACUUGAAUAAAGCAUACAAGACAUAUAACAAAAUAUUGAAAGGGAAAAGACAUUUGAUUGAAAAUUAAGAAAACUCAAAGUAUUGACGGAAACCGAUUAAAGCAGAUCAACCUUGUGAACUUUAGUUCUCCAUGCAAUCAUUUAAGCAAUAU